UGCAGUCGAGCGAACGGACGAGAAGCUUGCUUCUCUGAUGUUAGCGGCGGACGGGUGAGUAACACGUGGAUAACCUACCUAUAAGACUGGGAUAACUUCGGGAAACCGGAGCUAAUACCGGAUAAUAUUUUGAACCGCAUGGUUCAAAAGUGAAAGACGGUCUUGCUGUCACUUAUAGAUGGAUCCGCGCUGCAUUAGCUAGUUGGUAAGGUAACGGCUUACCAAGGCAACGAUGCAUAGCCGACCUGAGAGGGUGAUCGGCCACACUGGAACUGAGACACGGUCCAGACUCCUACGGGAGGCAGCAGUAGGGAAUCUUCCGCAAUGGGCGAAAGCCUGACGGAGCAACGCCGCGUGAGUGAUGAAGGUCUUCGGAUCGUAAAACUCUGUUAUUAGGGAAGAACAUAUGUGUAAGUAACUGUGCACAUCUUGACGGUACCUAAUCAGAAAGCCACGGCUAACUACGUGCCAGCAGCCGCGGUAAUACGUAGGUGGCAAGCGUUAUCCGGAAUUAUUGGGCGUAAAGCGCGCGUAGGCGGUUUUUUAAGUCUGAUGUGAAAGCCCACGGCUCAACCGUGGAGGGUCAUUGGAAACUGGAAAACUUGAGUGCAGAAGAGGAAAGUGGAAUUCCAUGUGUAGCGGUGAAAUGCGCAGAGAUAUGGAGGAACACCAGUGGCGAAGGCGACUUUCUGGUCUGUAACUGACGCUGAUGUGCGAAAGCGUGGGGAUCAAACAGGAUUAGAUACCCUGGUAGUCCACGCCGUAACGAUGAGUGCUAAGUGUUAGGGGGUUUCCGCCCCUUAGUGCUGCAGCUAACGCAUUAAGCACUCCGCCUGGGGAGUACGACCGCAAGGUUGAAACUCAAGGAAUUGACGGGGACCCGCACAAGCGGUGGAGCAUGUGGUUUAAUUCGAAGCAACGCGAAGAACCUUACCAAAUCUUGACAUCCUUUGA
rnacentral:rRNA from 1 species